UACGGAGGGUGCAAGCGUUAUCCGGAUUCACUGGGUUUAAAGGGUGCGUAGGUGGGUUGGUAAGUCCGUGGUGAAAUCCCUGAGCUUAACUCAGGAACUGCCGUGGAUACUAUCAGUCUUGAAUGCUGUGGAGGUAAGCGGAAUAUGUCAUGUAGCGGUGAAAUGCUUAGAUAUGACAUAGAACACCAAUUGCGAAGGCAGCUUGCUACACGGUUAUUGACACUGAGGCACGAAAGCGUGGGGAUCAAACAGG
rnacentral:rRNA from 1 species